UACGGAGGGUGCAAACGUUGCUCGGAAUCAUUGGGCGUAAAGCGCACGUAGGCGGUCGGCUAUGUCGGAUGUGAAAGCCUCGGGCUUAACCCGAGAAGGGCAUCCGAAACUGGCCGGCUUGAGUACGGAAGAGGGUCUCGGAAUUCCCGGUGUAGAGGUGAAAUUCGUAGAUAUCAGGAGGAACACCGGUGGCGAAGGCGGAUCUCUGGGCCUCACCUGACGCUCAGGUGCGAAAGCUAGGGGAGCGAACAGG
rnacentral:rRNA from 1 species